UACAGAGGUCUCAAGCGUUGUUCGGAUUCAUUGGGCGUAAAGGGUGCGUCGGCGGCGCGGUAAGUCGGGUGUGAAAUCUCGGAGCUUAACUCCGAAACUGCAUUCGAUACUGCCGUGCUUGAGGACUGGAGAGGAGACUGGAAUUCCUGGUGUAGCGGUGAAAUGCGCAGAUAUCAGGAGGAACACCGGUGGCGAAGGCGGGUCUCUGGGCCGAUACUGACGCUGAGGAGCGAAAGCGUGGGGAGCGAACAGG
rnacentral:rRNA from 1 species